rnacentral:rRNA from 1 species
AGUGAACGCUGGCGGUAGGCCUAACACAUGCAAGUCGAACGGCAGCACAGUAAGAGCUUGCUCUUACGGGUGGCGAGUGGCGGACGGGUGAGGAAUACAUCGGAAUCUACUUUUUCGUGGGGGAUAACGUAGGGAAACUUACGCUAAUACCGCAUACGACCUACGGGUGAAAGCAGGGGAUCUUCGGACCUUGCGCGAUUGAAUGAGCCGAUGUCGGAUUAGCUAGUUGGCGGGGUAAAGGCCCACCAAGGCGACGAUCCGUAGCUGGUCUGAGAGGAUGAUCGGCCACACUGGAACGGAGACACGGUCCAGGCUCCUACGGGAGGCAGCAGUGGGGAAUAUUGGACAAUGGGCGCAAGCCUGAUCCAGCCAGACCGCGUGGGUGAAGAAGGCCUUCGGGUUGUAAAGCCCUUUUGUUGGGAGAGAAAAGCAGCAGGUUAAUACCCCGCUGUUCUGACGGUACCCAAAGAAUAAGCACCGGCUAACUUCGUG